rnacentral:rRNA from 1 species
AUUGAACGCUGGCGGCAGGCCUAACACAUGCAAGUCGAACGAGUGGCGGACGGGUGAGUAAUGUCUGGGAAACUGCCUGAUGGAGGGGGAUAACUACUGGAACCGGUAGCUAAUACCGCAUACCAUCAGAUGUGCCCAGAUGUGAUUAGCUAGUUGGUGGGGUAACGGCUCACCAAGGCGACGAUCCCUAGCUGGUCUGAGAGGAUGACCAGCCACACUGGAACUGAGACACGGGCCAGACUCCUACGGGAGGCAGCAGUGGGGAAUAUUGAACAAUGGGCGAAAGCCUGAUGCAGCCAGGCCGCGUGUAUGAAGAAGGCCUUAGGGUUGUAAAGUACUUUCAGCGGGGAGGCGUUACCCGCAGAAGAAGCACCGGCUAACUCCGUGCCAGCCGCCGCGGUAAUUC